UAGGGUUUUGAGGAUGUUGGAGAAGUUGUUGCUGGACAUAUCAAAGGCCCUUUUGAGAGUGGACAUGAGAUGGGGAGGGAGGCCAUUGGUGGUAUGGUAGUGAGGUGGGAGUUCAGGCAAGUCAUCAUGUGGAAGAUGGAGUUCCACAAAUUCAAUGCAAUGAGAAUAUUUUUGGGAGAGUUUAGGCUUGAUGGAGCUGAGAUUUACAGGCGUGGAACAAAUAAAGAUGUGAAAAUUUCUCUUGGUGGUCAGCUUCUUGGCUAGCUCUAGGUAGGGAGAUAUAUGGCCGUGAGCUAGCCAUGGAAGCAUAAGAAUAGUAAGUUUUCUUUGGUCAGAGUAAACCAUAUUUUGUUUUCCUUUCACUCUUUUGCUUGAGGUUGCUCGAUUAUAGGCUUAUUGGUAGUUUUUUUGUAGCUAGCUCUAUGCAUAUAUAUAUAUAUAUACACACACAUUCAUGGGAAAAGAGGCUUGGGGAUGGGAAAUCAAUUGAUUUCCUAUGUUUGGUAAAGUUCGGGUAUGAGAAAUCGUUGCUUUGCACAUGAGAAAGUAGAGGGGAAAGUGAAGCCCUCCUCCUUCCUUAGGUUUUGUUUUCCUCCUCAUGGGAAAGUUUGGGAAAAUGAGCUAAUAUUAAAUACAUAUUUUUCAUGACCAUAUUAUCCCCAUUAAUAAUUUAGAAUUACAUAAAUGCAUUCUAUUUUUAUUUGAUUUCAUAUGGGUAUAAUUGAAAAAUUAAACAAAUUUUGUUUUACAUUCCUACACAAACCAAACAUGUGAAAGGAAAUAAAGUGGUAUUUCUUGGUUACUUUCCCAAGAUUACCAAACAUAGGAAAGGAAUCUCUAUUUCCCAUCCCUUAGAAAAUGACUUGGAAAGUAAUUUCUCCUCAAAUUCGUUCCGUGAACCAAACGGAACCUGCAUAAUAGAAGUUCCAAAAAAACACGUGAUGAUUGGAUCAUGCAUAUGUAAGUUCCCGAGUGAUGAUUGGAACAAGUUCCUAAUGAUAAAGACUCGAAACAAGAAUAGUUUAAACUUUCUUCUUUGUUUGGCUUGAUAUAAGACGAAUGCACCAAACAAACCGACUAAUUGCUGGCACAAUAUAAAUUGGGGCUACAAUUACCUAAUAAUUAGGUACUAAGGGCUACAAUUACCUAAUAAUAUCAACUUUCAUUAUACAGAUUUGAGAAACAAAAAGUUCAACUUUGAUGACAAGCGAUAUUAAAGGAGGGCGUAAUCAAACUUAGGAUCUUGAGUGUAGAAAUAAAUACUUUUAACAACUUGAGCUACAAGCCUUUUGUAAUAUUAAUGAUAUUUUAAUUAUACGUUUGAAUAGUUCGCUUCCUUCUCUUUUAUUUUCAUUUGUUUAUAUUUAACUCUAAUUUUAUUUAUAUUUUUGGUCAAGGUAAAAAGACUUUGAAUCUCUCUCCAAUGAUUUUCACAGCCGAAACUCCUUUAGUUUCCACAAAUAUUUUUUAAUAUUUCAUGCAUUUGUAAGUUUCCGACUCGGAUGGUUCAUGUAACCAAGAAGUUUAAACUUGUUUUUGCUUGUUCCGCCGACGAAAGCGCAACAAAAGGACAAACUACAACCAAUACUUCUAGUAUCACCAGUUCUCAUUGAAUUUGUUGCCGUGAAUGUUUAGGAUUCUGCCCAAACUAGUAUUUGCGUUUCUGAAUUGUUUGAAAACACAUAUGAAAUUAUGAUUUCUCCUCCCCAGAAGACAAAUUGACGAAGAAGUAUCAUGAUUUUGAUGACACAAAUUAGAAUCCAGGGUUUUCGAAGUGCCUAAUGGACAACUAUUAAUUUAGAAAUAUAUAUAUUUUUUUCGCAAUGCAGAAACACAUAAAUCCCAAGUUUGAAUUCAUCCUAUUUUUGUUUUUGUUUUUUCCUUUUUUAACCCAGAAGAAAAAUUGAGUGCCACUCUGCUAUGUAGAAUGCAAGUUUUAGUUUAGAUUUUUUUUUCUUUUUAGUCUCUUAUUCUACAUUUAGAUCUCAUAUAUUUACUCGCAUUUUAUUAAAUCUAAGUCAUUCAAACAAUCUGACCACUUAACAAAUUACAAGUACUCAAACUUAAAAUCAGAUUGGAUGGACAUGAGGCUUACACUGAUGAUUCUACACGUGCUGAGAAUAGUCCUUUUAUUUCUUUAUUAUUUUCUUGGUCGGGACUCGAGAGACAGGUGUAGUGUAGCGAUGGAGACGAGGCCCGCAAGACAUAAAAGUCUGAAGAAGAGAAGCGUGAAAGCUUCAUUUAGACAGUUAAGUGCAUACGUAACGUAAAGAUUCAAAGACUAUGUCCCUCUCCAAACAGGGAAAGAUCUGAGUUGAAAGCAACAAACUACAGUCACAAUAGGAAAGCAUCUACAACGUAAAGAAAAUAAGUUUACCAGAAGCAUCGGAAAGAUCUAGAGUCUGAAGAAGAGAUACUGAAGUAAUUGUUCAUCGACUGAGCUUAAAUGAAAUAUUAACUCUUUGUUGUGCCAUAAGCACAAGAUCUUAAGAAAAAAAUUCAAGAUAAACCAUAUAAUAUUUUCUAACCCACAAAAUAAUAUAGAAAAUAAAUGCAAGAACAAGAGAAUAGCAAGACACAACGAGGCUGCUUACAAUCAGUGUAAAUGAGCAAACAAAUUCACCAUCAACAAAUUAGCAUGCUUAUGAAGUGUUUUGCAACCUCACAAACCAAGGCGCCAUAUACACCAAAUGACUCUCACUGAAAAACUAAACAAAGAAACACACUCACACUAAUGAAAGCAACGUUACAAGGUAGGAGAUUGAAUAUUACAUUUACAAUACACUCAUAAGUUACAAAAACUAAUUACAAAUAUUUAGCGCAUAGGUUACAUAGAACUGAAAGGGUGGAAUGAUAAGAGCUAUGGUGGUCAUCCACCAACUCAUGCAUUUACAACACCGCCUCUUGAAUGUCCACCAUACAAUACAAUGAUAUAGUUGCGUCAUUAAACACUUUGCUUGAAAAACUAUAUGGGACAAAACUUAGGCUACGGGAAAAAGAGUGCAACACAAAUAAUAUUGAUAUCACAUUUGUCUCUCCUACGGAAUGAGCUUUGGUGAUGUUUGUAUAAAAAUUGCGUACAAACCAUUAUUGGAAGAUUGGGCUAGAGUGGGCUUUACCCUAGUGUUGACUUUGGAAAGAGACAAAUUAGGCUUAGUUGUGUAAAUUCAAUCCAAAAAAAAAUUAAAUAAUAGCCCACAUCUACAGCCAAAUACUUUAAUACUUUAAUUACUAAAGUUUUUUUUUCUUUCUCUCUCUUCUUUGGUUUAUUCAGCUUUUGAUUUGGCUCAAAUAAUGUUUAUAUCUCUCUUUGAUUUUGUUUUUUCAAAUUUAUUGAUGUUGCUUCUUUUGAAAAUUUUGAAAUAUGGACCCUCCCUAACUAAACCACUCCAUUGAGCAAAAGCCCUUGAGCUUCAAAUUUAUCUUCGUCUGAGCCUCUGAAUUUUGGUUUUUUUUAGGUUUUUUUUGUUUGUUGUAGGUUUCUUUGUUCACAUAUCUCUCUAAAAAUAGUAUUUUUCUUAAUGAAUUCUGAAAAUAGUUUUUAAUUUGAAGGAAAUAUACGGAAUUAGUAAAAAAGUAUACCACUUUCAUUAAUCUGAAGGAAAUAUUGCUUUAUAUAUAUUUGUUUAAAAAUAGGGCUUAUAAUUGAUCUCAAAAAAAAAAAAAAAACAAAUAGCCCACCCCUGUAAAUAUUCCUUAGUCCGCCAUUGCAUGGCAUAAUAUUUGGUAUGCUAUGCUAGCAUCUCAUAAGCUCUUCAAGAGACCUGAAUUUUAUGAUAACUUCUUAAAAAAUUUGAAUACAUUUCAACGAUAUUAAACUUGAAUUUGAACUCAUAAUUCAAUCAAAGUACUCAUUGAGGCAAUUUAGAUCAUUUUCAUUUUAAAAAAAUUGGGUGCACACAUUGAGCUUCAUGCUCUUUACCUUCUUAGAGAUUUUAUUUGAGGAAUUUAUAUUGCAUCACAUAUUACAUCUCUUAGGAUUUGUUCUUAUUAUGUAUUCUUUAAGAGAUCUAUUCUUGCAAUAUGCUUCAAACACUUCAUAAUCUUUAUGAAUUUUUCAUGUAGAUUUAAGGUCUCCAUGAAUAUUGAGAUUGAAACAAGGAGUAAAAGAGUUAAAAGUUUAAGAAAUUUUUUCCCUGAUUAUUUUGUAAUUAUAAUGUUGGUGAAAAUCCAAUUUCCUUUCUAGAAUUUGUGAAAUUUGUUAUUUGGCUAAGCUAAAAGUAUAAUUUUGACAAUAAAAAGCAUAUGAAAGUUUCUCUUUGGUUGGCUUCUUGGCUAGCUCUAGGAACGGACAGUGUGGCCAUGAGAUAACCAUGGAAGUAUAAUAAGAAUGCUUGGAUGCUGUGAACAAUCCAUUUUCUGACUCUUUUUCUUGAGGUGGUUGUUUUCUUAUGGCCCAUCAGAGUUUAUGGUCGACAGAUAAGCUUCAAACACAUGCAUUGGUCGUGUCAGUUGCGAUAAACUCUUCCCAACAAUCAACAAUUUCUAAGGUAAUAUCAUCAUUCAAUCAUGUGCUGAAUUUAGAAUUGUUUUCAAAUCAAGGAUUUGUUUUGGAACUCAGAUUUUAAAACAAUUAAAAUUUAAUUGGGAAGACUUUUUGUUUAAAGGAAGUUCGUUUCAAUUCAAAAAAUAAUUUUUCAGUUUUUCAACUCAAAAGUCUUCUCAGUUUUCUUAUUUUUCUUAUUGGCGAGUUUCUUGGUUAACUCUAGGAAGGGAGAUAUGUGGCCAUGAGCUAACCAUGGAAGCAUAAGAACGCUGACCAUGCUUGGAUUUUGAGAAGACUUCCUCUUUUUUUUUUCCCUGACUCUUCUUCUUGAGGCGGUGGUUGGCUUAUGGCCUCAUAAUAGUUUGGUGUUUUUGGAGAUCAUAUGGUGAUGAUCUGAUGGAGAUGAGUCAUAGUUUGUGCUAGUGCAUACGUAAUUCCAAUUUCCUGAUUCAGAUGGGAUAAACUCUUCCAACAAAUUAAGACUCUUAUCAUGCAUACACAUAAGAAGUGGAAAUUUGCUUCUGUCUUAGUUUGGCCUUGAUAUAGGACAGCUCAUAGGAAAGCAUCCAAAACAAUAUUCUUUUUAUUUUUUUUAUUUGAAUACAAGCGAUAUUAGGAGUGUGGGGAUUUGAACACAUGAUUUAGGGUACAGGGUAAUGCUCUUAACUAUAUGAGUUACAAGUCCCUUGCAAACAGUCUGAAAUACUAAAAAUAAAAAAUAGAUGCUCAUCCAUAUGCACUGUCAUGCCCCAACCCUUGGAUUUACAAAACCUUGUGUUAAGACGUGAUUCACACCUUAAUUAUAGAAUUUAAUAAAAACUAUAACUAAAAUGUGAAGAAAACAUUUAAAUAAAUAAAAUAAAUAUUUCACAUAGAAUAUUCAGUGGAAAUGACAACAUGUGAAAUCUUAAAAAUUUUACAUUAUCUUACAAGUUGGCGUGACUUGUGGAUAUUGACUUACUUUCCUUACACACCAAGAAUUCCUAUUAUAAUUGUAAUUGAUUUACUUUAAUUCAUGAUUUCCUACUGUAAAUAGAUUUAAGAAUUUAUUAUUUACUUGCCCAUUCAGGUUUCGUUGUAUUAUAAAUAUGACCUCCUACAAGGAGAAGAACAUACAGAAAAUUCCCACAAACAAAUAUUCUCUCAUAGUUUUCAUAUUUUAGCAUGGUAUCAGAGCGGCAAUCUUGGAAUUGCUGACUCUAGUUUCAAACCCCCGCCGCCGCUAUGGGGGUUGAUGAUUUUUUCAACCAUCAUGGAGGUAGCACCAUCGACUCCUUCUCUCAUUCUCAACUAACCAUCGUUGAGUUGAGUGCCCAGAUGGCUCCGCUCCUACAGAUGCAGACUUUGACCCCAAACCCGAUCCAGAAUCAGGAUCUUCUUUCGACAACCACGACCCCGAUCUCGACUAUGACAACGACGACCCCGACCCCUACUCUGAAGAUGACCCCGACCCCCACUCCGAUGACCCCAACCCCGAAUUUGUCUCUGAUUCAGAACCCGAUCCCGAUUUCGACUCCGACUCCGGCCUCGACUCAGGCUCAGAUUUCGAUCCAAAUUCCUACUCAACUUAUAUCCUAUGCAUCUUCCGCUGCACAGAUUAUGACUUCUAGACUAACGACCCCGACAUAUGGACCAGAUUGCACAUAUUGUGGUGAUCCGAGACACACUUGUGAGACUUGUUUUAAAUCGCAUGGCUACCCCGAUUGGUGGGCUAUUCUUACAGAUCAAGGACAAUGCACCAGUAAUGGUACUGGUUAUGGAUUCCAUACUUCCGAUAAGAUUGAUUCCAGGAGCUGGAUAAUUGAUUCUGGUGCAACUGAUCAUAUGACGUUUGAUCCUGAUGAUUUUCUGAAUACUACACAACCUCGACGAACUUGUAUUGCAAAUGCCAAUGGUGUUACUUAUCCUGUGACAGGGGCUGGCACUGUUGCACUCUCAUCCUCUCUCACACUGUCUAAUACUUUACUUGUUCCAUUUUUAUCCACUAAAUUGUUGUUAGUUAGUCAGCUUACUAAACAAUUGAAGUGUUGUGUACUCAUUUACCUGAGUUUUUGUUUGCUUCAGGAUAUUCACACUAAGGAGAUUCUUGGUCGUGGUACUAAGAGAGGGGGGCUAUAUUAUGUCGAUGACUUCAGUUCCGGCGUGCCUAACAGUGUGACACAUCCCUUUGAUAGCAAACAAAAGCAAAUUUGGUUGUGGCACCUUCGAUUGGGACAUCCGUCUUUCAGUUAUAUGAAGCAUCUUAUACCAGAUUUAUUCUUAGGUUUCAAGGACUCCGACUUCACAUGUGAUACUUGUAUUUUGGCUAACAGUCACCGUGUGCCCUACCUGUUGAGUACGAACAAGUGUACUUGUAAGAUCCCACAUCAACCAACGGAGAGGGGGUGAUGUGCCUUAUAUAUGCACACCUGCAUCCAUCUAGCACGAGGCCUUUUGGGAGCUCACUGGCUUCGGAGUCGUAGGAACUCCGAAGUUAAGCGAGUUGGGGGCUAGAGCAAUCCCAGGAUGGGUGAUCCACUGGGAAGUUGCUCGUGAGCUCCUAGAAACAAAACCGUGAGGGCAGAGAGAGGGGCCCAAAGCGGACAAUAUCGUGCUACGGCGGAGUUGAUCCCGAGAUGUGACAAUUUGGUAUCAGAGCCACUCUGCCGUGUGGUGCGAAUGUGCCGACGAGGACUUCGGGCCCUUAAGGGGGGUGGAUUGUAAGAUCCCACAUCAACCAACGGAGAGGGGGUGAUGUGCCUUAUAUAUGCACACCUGCAUCCAUCUAGCAUGAGACCUUUUGGGAGCUCACUGGCUUCGGAGUUGUAGGAACUCCGACGUUAAGCGAGUUGGGGGCUAGAGCAAUCCCAGGAUGGGUGACCCACUGGGAAGUUGCUCGUGAGUUCCCAGAAACAAAACCGUGAGGGCCAGAGAGGGGGGCCCAAAGCUGAUAAUAUCGUGCUACGGCGGAGCCGAUCCCGGGAUGUGACAAUUGUACUACUCCAUUUACGUUAAUUCACUCUGAUGUCUUGGGACCUUCGCCUAUCACUGCUCCUUCUGGUGUUCGAUGGUUUGUCACAUUCAUCGAUGAUUGUAUACAGAUGACAUGGCUUUAUUUGCUGAAGAAUAAAAACGAAGUGUUUUCCCGUUUUCAGUCCUUCCACAAACAGAUGAAAACUCAGUUUAAUGCUCAAAUCCAGAUUCUUCGCUCAGACAAUGGUGGAGAAUUUGUCAAUCAUGACUUUCAGACUUACUUCCAACAACAUGGAAUUAUCCAUGAGACGACUUGUCCUCAGACACCACAACAAAAUUGUGUUGUUGAACGAAAGAAUUGACAUCUUCUUGAAACCGCCCAAGCACUUCUGAUUGGCGCUCAUGUUCCUCGCUAUCACUGGGAUGAUGCUAUUGUCACCGCAGUUCACCUGAUCAACCGCAUGCCUUCUGGUGUAUUGACCUUUAAAACUCCCUUACAGGUGCUUGCGCAACACAGACCUCUGCUCUCUGUUUUGGUACUCACACCCCGAAUCUUUGGAUGUGUGGCUUUCGUUCAUCUCCACAAAAAUCAACGUAGCAAACUUGAUCCCUGUGCGCUUCGUUGUGUUUUUAUAGGUUAUGCCACUCAUCAGAAAGGCUACCGUUGUUAUCACCCUCCUACCCAACGAACCUAUGUCACUUUGGAUGUGACCUUUCUGGAAUCUGAGUUGUUCUUCCAUGACCCAUCAUCCAAUUCUACGCAUCAGGGGGGGAUACGAAGUGAAGAGCAGAAUUGAAGCAACUUGGGAAAUAAAGAAAUUUUCCUCUGUACAGAAAUGAUUAAUCAUCCUGAGUCUGGAGCACGAGAUUACUCUCUGUCGAAAAGCAACCAAUCGCCCAUUCAUAGCGAUCAAUUGCCUCACCUACCUGAUCCAUGUGAAGAUAUUUUUGAUCCGAGUCUCACACCUACAGACAAUACAGAACAACAAGAUGAAGACUCCCCCUCUAACUCAACAGUACCAACAGACCAAUCUCCUGAGAAUAUCCUUGAGGUAACUACUCCUACUAGAUUUGUGCAUUUAAAUGAUUAAACUAUUGGAUAUCAAUUACCUUUCAGGGAAAAUCGUGGGAAGCCAUCAAACCGUUAUGCACCUGAUAUUGGCAAGACAUCCAAGUAUCCAAUUGCAAAUCAUGUAUCCACUGAGAAGCUGUCUGAACAACUCAAGGCUUUUGUGCAUCAGUUGUCUGCGAUCCAUAUUCCAACCAAGGUCUCUGAAGCAUUAAAAUAUCCUAAGUGGGUCCAAGCUAUAAAAGAGGAGAUGAAAGCUCUUGAGAAAAAUCAGACUUGGACAUUAGAGACUAUACCUCGAGGAAAAAAGACUAUCAGAUGUAGAUGGGUGUUUACUAUAAAACACAAUGUAGAUGGAUCUAUCGAGCAAUACAAGGCAAGACUUGUGGAAAAAGGGUACACACAGACAUAUGGUAUAGACUAUGAAGAAACCUUUGCUCCAGUUGCAAAGUCAAACACCAUCAGAGUCUUAUUGUCCCUUGCAGCUAAUUUGGAUUGGCCACUACACCAGUUUGAUGUAAAGAAUGCUUUUCUACAUGGCGUACUCACGGAGGAGGUGUACAUUUACAUUCCUCCUGGAUAUAAUACUACUUAGACUGGAACAGUUUGCAGGUUACGAAAAGCAUUGUAUGGAUUGAAACAGUCACCACGUGCAUGGUUUGGACAGUUCACCAUGGCAAUGAAGAACAAUGGUUCAAACAGUGCAACUCAGAUCAUACUCUACUCUUGAAACAUCGAAAAGGGAAGGUAACAACAUUAAUAAUCUAUGUUGAUGAUAUGAUUAUUACUGGGAAUGAUAAACAGGAAAUAUCACAGCUACAAGACUAUCUGGCUACGGAGUUUGAGAUGAUGGAUCUAGGUGGACUCAAGUAUUUCUUGGGAAUUGAGGUGGCUCGAUCCCAGCAAGGCAUAUUUCUCUCUCAAAGGAAAUAUGUCUUGGACUUGUUGACAGACACAUGAAUGCUAGAUUGUAAACCUGCGAACACUCAUAUUGUUCAGAAUCAUCAUCUUGGAGAAUAUCAUGAUCAAGUUCCAACUAACAAAGAAAGAUACCAAAGGUUAGUAGGAAGAUUGAUCUAUUUGUCACAUACUUGACCAAACAUUACUUAUGCAAUGAGCGUUGUCAGUCAAUUUAUGCACUCUCCAAGUGAAGACCACACGAAUGCAGUUCUUCGGAUACUUAGAUAUUUGAAGUCUGCACCUGAAAAAGGACUUAUUUUCUGAAAGCAUGGUCAUAUAAAUAUUGAUGGUUAUUCAGAUGUAAUGUAACAGAUAGAAAAUCCACAUCCGGUUACUUAACAUUCAUGGGAGGUAAUUUGGUGACAUGGAGGAGCAAGAAACAGAAUGUAGUAGCUUUAUCCAGUGCAGAAGCCGAGUUCAGAGGCAUGACUAAAGGAAUUUGUGAACUUCUUUGGUUAAGAAAGUUGCUUACUGAACUUGGGUAUAAACCUACAUCCACAAUGAUUCUCUUUUGUGACAACAAGGCUGUUAUAGCCAUUGCACAGAAUCCGGUUCAGCAUGAUCGUACUAAACAUGUUGAGGAGGAUCGACACUUCAUCAAACAGAAGCUUGAGGCUAAAAUGUUUCAGUUUUCUUUUGUGAAAUCCGAGGAUCAAUUGGCGGAUAUUUUGACAAAGGUGAUUUCCAGUAAAACAUUCCACAAUUCACUGGAUCAGUUAGGCAUUGGCGAUAUCUAUGCACCAACGUGAGGGGAAGUGUUGGCGUGACUUGUGGAUAUUGACUUACUUUCCUUACACACCAAGAAUUCCUAUUAUAAUUGUAAUUGAUUUACUUUAAUUCCUGAUUUCCUAUUGUAAAUAGAUUUAGGAAUUUAUUAUUUACUUGCCCAUUCAGGUUUCGUUGUAUUAUAAAUAUGACCUCCUACAAGGAGAAUAACAUACAGAAAAUUCCCACAAACAAAUAUUCUCUUAUAGUUUUCAUAUUUUAGCAAGAACUACUCGAGAGUUUACUAAAAGAGUAGUUCAGUAUUCAUCCACAAGCUAUAUACACAAUACACUCUAUAGAUAUGCCAAAAUCAUCGCAAGCUCUAGAUUUUAGGUUCGAUACCUGCAAAAUCUAUUAGAAGGGUGAGUGAAACCACAGUUUAGUAGGGACAUAAACCUUUUCACGGUAAACUGAUAUAAUUAAAUUAAGUGAAAAAUAAUCACACAGCCAAAUAUCACAUUAUUAAUAACAAUGCAUGAAUGCUCUUCAUUUAACCCGUUAAUUCAUAUAAUUAGACAAGCUUCACGACCCAUACCAUGCUUAUACCACUUAGUCCCGAAUGCCAAUUUAUAUGAAUUAACGCCCAUUUCAAUCAUCCCAUAAUUCCCAUUUUGUUAGUCAUCUUGUCUAACUCCCUGUUGCCAGUCCUGAAUCACCAAAAAAAAAAAACCAUGUGCACUAUGGGAUCCCUGAGUACUAGUACCUGGCAAGAGUUAGACUCAACUACACAAAAGAUCAUUUCUAUUACCCUCUUAUCCACCAUUAUUUUCUCAACUUCAGAAUUCUAGCCAAAUUCCAUGACAUGAUAUAAUUAAAAUUAUGCCUUCACAACAAUGUGCCCAUUUAAAACAUCACUAAUGCACAUAUAAUUAUGCCCACAUUGUUCAAAUAGUUAAGAGUACGUAAAUACCCAAUACAUGGAACGUCAAUCAAACAGUACCACGCAUAAUAUAAUGCUCAAGAAAUUUAAUUAAAUCAAUCUCUGUAAAAGGCCCCUAAGAAACCCCUGCCUUGAUACUAAAGCUUUUGCUAGACCUAUAAGGUGUUUUCCAAUUUUCCACCGCAUUCACAAACUCUGUCUUCUACUUUUUUUCUUACUUCUCUCUACCACUAUUUCUUUCUCGUUUUCUUUGUUUUCACUUGUUGUGCAACUUAAUGUCCUAUAUAUAUACAAGGAACAAGUCGGCAGUAAGUGAUUUCCUAUUGGAUGGUGUAUUCGGUUGUUAUAAACUUACUAGUAAUAGUUAUCAAUGUAGUUGCAGAUGAGGAAGAAUGUUUUUGUGACUCUUCCAAUCCCUCUAAUCCUAUUUCUUAUCUUCUUGGUGAGUUGAUAGCCUCGAUACUUAACAGAUUUUAUACUUUGACACGUAUUAACAAGAACUAUUUUAAAAACAUAUACAUAUAUAUAUAUAUAAUAGAAUAUGUAUAUAUGUAAUACACAUAUUUAUAUAUAAUAAGAAUAAUAUAUAUGUAAUAAGAUAUAAAUAUUUAUUAGAACAGUAUAUAAAAUAAUAUAUAUCAUUCUUAUUAUAACAAUAAUUUUAAUUUUCCCAAAAUAAUAUAUAUUUAAAAAUAUGUGGUUUCACAUGCAUGUCCUUUUUGCUAUAGACACUAUUACAAAAAUCGAAAUAGACAACGGAAAACUACCGUCGUCUGGAAAGUUUUCAAACAGUCGUGAAAUCGACUGUCGUCUCUUUUACAUAAAACAACGACGGCUAUUAACCAACGUCGUUAAUACAUUCCACGUAAAAAACUAUUAUAAACCGACGUGUAAUUACUAUAUAUAUAGCCUAAAAUAAAAUCUUCAACAACCUUAGACGACGGUUUUAUUAAAACUGACACGUCUAAAGAGUGUUACAUGUCAAGAUCAAAACAAGAACCGACGUACAGAUAAUUAUCCACGUCCUAAUUGAAGUAAAAUAGACUUGGAUAACCUAGAAACCGUCGUGGUUAACAUAUACUACGUUAAAUUAACAAAGGCACUUACGUCUAAAAAGUAAAAGACAACACGCGCACAAAGCAACAGACGUUUAAAGCUUAGUACAUGUCAAUAGCCGCUCAAUAACCGCAGUAAAAUGAAUUAACCACGUCCCACAUAUGGCAGAACUGUUGCUUAUGUGAUUAUCCACGUCGCGGAGUAGUAGAACAAAGACGUUGUAACCAUAUUCCACGUCUGUUUCUUGUGAGAAUUGUCGUUUAAAUUAUACAAAGAAGCCCCUUUGACAGAGUUAGACGUUGCUCUUGCUGUAGAACCGACUUCUAACAGGUUUAAAAUGACACAAUAUUACUUAAUACUGCCGUAACAAAUCAUAUCCACGACUGCUGUUGUCAAAGACUGACGUUACAAAAAAUAUUGAAGGUGUUGACAAAAAAGAACCGACAUGGAUUAUGCAUUCAACGUCGUGUGGUCUAAAAAUAAAGGACGUGGUUAAUUUUUUCUCUACGUCAAGUGGAUCCAAUUGCCUGAUGUUGUAAUUCUUUACCAUGUUGGUUUUUAAUACAUGAUGAUGUGGUUGUCCUUUUAAAAGUCGCUUGUUUUACCCUCCUUGACGUGUGUAUGAUAUGAGACGUCAAUUGUUUUAGACUAGCUGACGUGCAGAAAAUCUGUCACGACAAUUAAUGCAACUGAAUUGCCUCUAUUUCCCCCAGACGACGGUAGGUUUUAAGUGUGGAAGUAGUGUUUUACAAAAUCGUAAGUUGGAGUAAUCUACCAUCGUGUUAUUCGAGAAUAUACCACGAUCUUUGUUUUGUACUCGGUCGCUGAUGUUUAUACUACUUAAUAAACUGACAUGUUUUCAGUUUCAGACGGCGGCUUUUGUUUCUUUAUGGUCUUUUGCAUUUUUUUUCCAUGACAUUUUUGAAAGCCUAAUGUUGGUUUUAUUUUAGAAAUCGAUUUUUCCCCUUUUUUUACUGGACCGUCGUACUUUACACAUUUAAUCAAUUUUUUUCAAUUUUUGAUUCAUCGUGCCCAAAGCCUACAUAACGAAAAUGUGAUCAGAAUUAAAAUGAUGUACAAAGGUAUUAAUUAAUGUCAUACAAUUAACUGAAUAACUAAUGUCAUACACUACAACAAUCAAUCAAUCCAUAUAUCUUCACACCCAUCUUUAAUAUUUUCACUCCCAAACUCACCCACUAGGUCAUCAUAUGUGUCAACAUUUGGUAUCCCUCUAGUAAAUGUCUCACACUCAAUUCUAAUAUCACCUAGCACAUCAUCACCAAUAACAUUAUUAUAUUCUCUAUUAUGCAUUGAUAACACUACCGACCAACCACGAUGCAUUGGGUCGUCAGCAUAAAAUACUUGUUUUGGUCAUUCCUAUGUCCAAUUUUACUCAAAUCUACAAAGGUGAAUCCAAGUUCAUCGACAACAAGGCCCAAAGUGUUAUCUAUCCAAUCACACCUCAAGACAAGGAUUCUAAACUUUUGGUAGUCAAGGUCCCAAAUUUCUUGAAUAACACCAUAAAAACCCAUAUUGGAGACAAUAGAGUUUUUAUCCUUAGCACUAGCAACUUGCAUAGUAUGUGCAAGUAAAUAAACUCCACUAUUUUGGACAGUUCGCAUAUCAUCUUGUGCCUUGGUGUUAAAUUUAACACCAUUAAUAAGAUAGCUCCUAUAUGAUGGCAUUGCCAUGCUUGGACUAGCUGCUAGCCACCUCAAAUUUUAUGAUACGCCAUUAUGCUCUUCCCCAUUAAGUUCACUUUGAACUUGCAAAUUAAUCGUAUAUAUCCUAAUUCGAUCUAACAUAUAAAAAGGAAGAAAAUUAAAAGUUGAAUAUGUCAUUCAAUAACAUAUAUACUUGAAAGUGUAGCCAUUGAAUGAAAGUGCUAUUGUGCUUAUCUUGCAGCCACUUUGUUCUCUUUCUAAAUAUUGGAUAAGUGGUCUUGAUGUGGAUCAUAUGUUCCAUACAUUGACACGAAAAAAUCAAGCAUUACGGUCCCUUGUAUAUAAGAUAACAUAAGGAAUAAUAAUAUUUAAAAUGGCUCUAUAUGAAAAAUGGAACUCAUGCGUACUCGAUAUAAGGUAGGACUUCCUCAGUAUUCUCCAAGACAUAUAGAUGUGUCUGGUUCAAAAAACCCGAUCACCUAAGCUUACUGUGCAACCAGAUAAUGGCUUUGAAACUCCCAUCUUCUAGCUUGAAGGCACUCCAACUGUACUAACAUCAGAUAAAUGCUCGGUGCAAAACUCUACAACUUCUUCAGCUAUAUACCGCUCAAUAAUGCAACAUCCGGGACGAGUACGGUUCUGAACAAACCUAUUUAGCACUUUCAUAUGUCUUUCAAAUGGAUACAUCCAUCUAAAAUAUACUGGCCCAUGUAGACGAACUUCUCUGACAAGAUGUACUACUAGAUGAACCAUGAUAUCAAAGAAUGAAGGGGGAAAGUACUUCUCAAGCAAACGCAACGUAACUACUACAUCUUCUUCCAAAUUAUCUAGCUUGGAAACAUCUACUGUCUUUGCACAUAUAGCAUUGAAGAAGAAGCACAAUCGAGUUAUUGCAUACCUUGCAGGCUUCUCCAAACAGAACGAAUUGCCACAGGGAGCAAUUGUUGCAUCAAGGCAUGAAAAUUAUGAGAUUUAAGGCCAAGAAGUCUUGAAUAUUUUUAAGAUACAAGAUUUUUUUAUAUUUGAACAAUAACCUUCAGGGACUUUCAUACCAUAGAAAGAAUUGCAAACCGCUCUCUUAUCUGCUCUUGACAAAUUCUAGGGCCUUGGAGGCAAGCGAGUACGUCUUUCUCAAUACUCGGGUUGCAAAUCAUUUUUGACCCCCAUGUUCAAUAAAUCUAACCGAACAGCAAUCUCAUCUUUAUUUUUUCUAGGGAUCUCCAGCAAUGUACCAAUGAUACUAUCGCAAACAUUCUUCUCAAUAUGCAUAACAUCUUGGACAUGCCUCAUAGGAAGGUAUUUCAAAUACUCGAGAUCAAAGAAUUUUGAUUUCUUAUUCCAACAAACUCUGUCACCAUCAUUCUCAAAAACACUUCCCCCAUUUUUCGAGCCCCAUAUGUAAUUAAUAUCUUCAACCAUGUCCUAUUCAAGUUAAUGGUUCGGGAGGCGUGCCAUAUUCAAGUUUUCCAUUGAAAGCUGCACGCUACCUCCGACAUGGAUGAUUGAUUGGUAACCAUUUUUUAUGACCAAUGUAACAAAUUUUGGGGCCAUUUUCAACCUGUGACUAGGUGUAUCAUCGCCGCAUAUUGGACAAGCUUUAUAUCCUUUAACGACACUGUAACACCCCGACUCUAAAUUAAUCCCUUAUUUAAUUAUUUAAAGAAAAUUACAAAUUUACCCUUAAGAUAGGGGUAUUUUGGUCAUUUUCUUACCCGAAGAGAGUUUGGGGCAGUGACUAGUAUUUUUGGAUAGGUCGUACUGAGACGAGUUCAUAGACACGUAGUGGGCUCGAAUCGAAGUUGUAACGAGAGAGAUAUGGUCAAAAGAAACCCAAUUGCACAAUCAUAAUUAUUUCGAAAUGAGAUUUUUAUAAAAAUCAGAUUUUUUUUUCUCUCUCUCUCUCUCUCCUCGUCGGUCUCUCUCCCUCUCCUCGAAACUCCGGCCAUCGGCCACGGCUGUGGACGGGGCCGGUACCAAAAUGACCGAGGCGUUGUCCUCCUCUAAUCCCAGCUAGGUCCCGCCGUCAGCCGCCAUGGUUUCGCCGGAAAAUGGAGAAGAAGCGGCCGGCGUCGUCCGAAGUUCUCCGCCGUUGAUCUCCCUCUUCCGGUCACCGAUUCCGACGAGUGAGGUAUGGUUUCUCACCUACUUUUCAUGCUCUAGCUGCCUGCUGGGUAUGAUUGGAUUGAUUUUUAGCGUAGGCAAUUCGAUUUUCGCAUUGAAAUUCGGCUAAUUUUGGAAUCACGAUUCCGGCUAGUUCUGGUCAGUUUUUGGGGUAGAUCCAAGAACAAAAGUGGCUCCAAAUAGGGUGUUAUACCUAGGGUAGGAGUUUGGAGCCAUGGUUUUGAGAUUUUCCGGCGAUACGUAAUCGCUUUAGACACCCAACGCUGCCCGCACGUGUGGCAGUGCGUGGGCGAGGGUAGUGAAAUAGCACUAUGUCUCGAUGAGAUCCUUAGGUUGUCACGAGUGCGUAGGAUUUCGCGGAUCUCAAUUCGGACGUCGUUUGACUAUCGAACGGAUUUUCGUAUAUUGCGCGUCAUCCGGGUUCGAUAGGUUGGGACCGUUGGAUGGUCUCGAAUAAAAUAUAUGUUAAUCUAGGUAUUUCUAGGAUCAUGUAGGAAUUCACGGAUUAUAAAUCGGAGCCCCGGAUAUUCCGAAUAAAUAAUUUAAAGUUUAUGUUUUAUAAUAACCGUCACAUCGUGCGAUCGUGAGCGAUCCGACCGGCCGAUCUGGACCAAACUUACAGAACGAGUGUCCUAUACCUUGAAGAACCCAUAGGAAUUUUCAGAUCGAAAUUUGGAGGUCGUGGGCCCCGUGGGCCCAUUUGACUAGGGGUAGGGUAGUUUGACCCUUAGUUGACCGUGAGUCUCCCGGAGUAAUCUCACCUUUCCAGGGGGAUUAUCGGGUGCUAGACUGUUGUUGAGGUUUACACGAUAUUAGUAGUAAAUUAUAUAUUUAUAUACAUUUGUAAAGGUAAAAAAUAAGUCCAGAAUGUCAGUUUGAAGUGCUUUACGCACUACCUUAGGUACCUCCCCGGAUUUUAGUUACACUACAAGUACCACCCUAUGAAAGUUAGGUCCCACGUGGCGUAGGUUAUCCGGCGUGCGGACAGGCCCUAUACGUGGCAUUGGUAGUAUCGGUGUAUGGGGAGAUUACGUGAUAAUAUGUUGAGGUCACACGUGGCGUAGGUUAUCCGGCGUGUUGACAGACCCCAUACGUGGCGUUGGUUGUACCGGCGUAUGAGGAGAUAUUGUGAUAUGAUAUUCAGGUCUCGCGUGGCGUAGGUUAUCCAGCGUUGAGACAGACCCCAUACGUGGCGUUGGUUCUACCGGCGUAUAAGGAGUUUAUGUGAUAUUAUGUUGAAGUCGCGCGUGGCGUAGGUUAUCCGGUGUGUCGACAGACCCCAUACGUGGUGUUGGUUGUACCGGCGUAUGGGGAGAUAUGUGAUAUGAUGUGCAGGUCUCGCGUGGCGUAGGUUAUCCGGCGUUGAGACAGACCCCAUAUGUGGCGUUAGUUGUACCGGCGUAUGGGAAGAUAUUGUGAUAUGAUAUUCAGGUCUCGGGUGGCGUAGGUUAUCCGGCGUGUUGACAGGCCCCAUACGUGGCGUUGGUAGUACCGGUAUAUGGGGAGAUUAUGUGAAAUACAGAGAAAUGAAAUAAGGUAUUGCCUAUGUGUGGAAUUGGGUUUUAAGGAAGAACUACGUGUGGCUUGAUCCCUCAGGGAGGGUACGUAGGCAGCCUAAGGUUAUUAGGUGUAGCCGCGGACAUAGACGUGAUUGUGUUAGGAGGUUAAAACCUCGUAUGUUGAAAUUGAGAAAAUUAGAUGAUGUAUGUUGAAAUUUAGUAGUCGUAAUUUAUAUUUAAAUUUAUCGUUUGCCUUGUUUAAGGCAUGAAUUGAUUUGCUAGCAUGCUUGGUAGUUGAGAAUUAUAGAAAGGCCGAAGGCCGUUUAUGUGAAUUGCAUGGAAUUAUAUUGUGCAUGCUGCCAGUUGUAGUUAUUAAAUGUGUUUUUAUGCAGGUUGAAAUUUUGGGAAAUGUCCAAUUUACAGGGGAGACUCUGCCGAAAUUUCGGCAGAAAGUCUCGGUCUUUAGUAAGUGGGCCUGACAUCGAGGUGAUGUCGGGGAAUCCACAGGAUCCGCCUCGAUUUUUGGAAAAAUCGGGGCGGUUCCUUUCAGACACAACCAGAUAAGUUCUCAUAGGCAGAAAAAUCAUUAAUUGUUCACAGUAAUACACCUAUGAGUGUAAAGUAAUCUCCUAUGUGUGCAUCAUACACUCCUUUAAUCCCAUCCCACAAAGAUUUUAAAUCAUCAAUCAGAGGCUCUAAGUAGACAUCUAUAUCAUUUCCAUUCUAUUUAGGACCAGAAAUCAAUAAGGUCAAUAUCAUGAACUUCCAUUUCAUGCAUAGCCAUGGUGGGAGAUUAUAUGUAACUAAGAUAACCAACAAUUGUAUCUGCUACUUAAAGAACUGUGGGGAUUGAAUCCAUCAGAUGAGAGAGCCAAUCUCAAGUUUCUUGGCUCUUUACUGAACUCGGGCCAUUUAUCAUCAACAAGUUUUUAAGACGGGAAAUUCGCUGGAUGAGACAUAUGACCGUCAAUUGCUUUUCUAGCAACAUGCCAAGUCAAACUCUUAGCUGUCAUAUGUGAUUGAAACAUCCUUUUAAACCUUGGAAUUGGAGGAAAAUACCACACCACCUUCGCUGGCACACUCUUUUUCAAGAUUGAAUCUUUGCAUUCCUUCCACCUUGAGAUACCACAAGUAGGACAAUUAGUUGAAUCUUCAUAAUCAUUCCUAUACAAGAUGCAGUCAUUGGGACAUGCAUGGAUAUUCUCAUAACUCAUCCCUAAAGGAGAUAAUGUCUUUUUUGCCUCGUACAUAGAGGAAUAUAGUGUCUUUCCUUCUGGAAGCAAAUCUCCUUGAAGUAUCAAUAAUUCUAUAAAACAAACAUCACUCAUCCCAUGUUUUGCUUUCAAAUUAUAUAACUUCACCAAAGCCGACAACAUCGUGUACUUACUGCAACCAGGGUACAAGGAUUGAUCUCAAUCCCCAAUCACAUUGGCAAACUCAUAAGGAUCAAAUCCAAUAUCGCCUAAAUCAUUAUCAUCCAUCCCUACUUCUUUAGAAACAAAACUGAACCUACUUUGCUCAUCUUCUUCCACAUUUCUACUAGCAUUAGUAGUCAAUUCCCAAGGUUCUCCGUGCCAUGUGCAAAUCUGAUAGCUUUAGUCAAUUCCAUUAAAGUAUAAGUGGUCCCUCAUAAUUCCAACCCCAAACAAUCGAAUAUUCCCACAUUUAACACAUGGACAACGAAUAUGAGUUGUAUUUCCAAGAUUUUCUACAGCAAAAUUCAAAAAUCCUUCCACCCCUAACUCAUAUGCCUUCGGUCUUCUAUCCGCAUGCAUCCAUGACUUAUCCAUCUCACACACUAUAAAAUCAUAUAUAUAAUAAAGUGAAAAGACCAGCAAUGAAACACUACUUUAUUCACAUAGCAAAGAAUGAAUUGAAAAAAAAAAUUAACCAAGAAUCAGACGACGGUUUUUACAAAAAAAAUCGUCCUGUAACAGAGGGUCAGACGACGGCAUAUCUAGUUAUCGACGUCUUUAAGCUACCCAAACCCAGAUAUUUGUAUUGCUUUUUGAAGAACCGGGUUCUGGGUUCUGGUAAACAAAAGAUGACGGUAAAUGGAGAAACACCGACGUAUCCUAAAACUUGAGACGACGGUUUAUUUCACCAACCGUCGUCGUAGUUUACGAAAAACAGAAGUCUAAAUCUCCCAUCCUCAUUCCUUUUCUAAGAACCCUUAACAAAAUGCAAACAUCAAAAUAUAAAAGAGCCAUAUAUAGCUCCCAAUUAAGAAACCAAAGCUACCAAAACAUAUAUUAAUAAACCAAAGCUACCAAAAUGAACGAAAACAUUUAUGGGUUUUACAAACUAAGAGAAUAUUGAGAGAGAGCUGAGAGAAUAUACUUACAUGGAUAUUGAGAGAGAGCUGAGAGAAUAUAACAAAUGCUUGAGAGAGAGCUUAGAGAAUAUACACAAUGCUUUGAGAGAGAGCGAAAAAUUUAAGACAAAUUUAUGUUGAAGAGAGAGAAGGAAAUAUUUUAGGGUUAAAGGGAAAUUCUGAAAAUUUUAGAUCACCGUCAAAAUUUUCAAAGGACCGCGUUUUUCAAAGACGGCUAAGGAAAACUACCGCCAUUGUAAAUCAUUUUACUACGACGGUUGAGGAAAACUACCGCCAUUGUAAAUCAUUUUUAUGUCGCCUCUAUAAAAACCGACGUCUAAAAUAUUAAAUAAUUAGAUUUGGUUUGCAUUUCGUGGGAUUCUAACGUGCGUAAUUGACCAAAAAGAGCGAGAGAAAACCAGCGUCGUUUCUAUAAAACCUAAACCCUAAACCCUAAACCCUAAACUCUAAAACCUAAACACUGAAAAAAUUAACCAAAAAUUGCUAUGGACUCCUUACAACAAUGCCUUCUAUAUUAGUAGGCUAAAAUCGGGAUUAAAUAAUUUUGAAUUUUAUGACCACCAAUGGAUCACAUAAACCUUAGGGUUAUGUUUAUGGAAAGUAUAAGGAUUAUUGUGUUUUGUCUCUAAAUCUUUUUUACUUUUGUUAUCACUUGUAACUUUGAAAUCUAAAAUUAAAAUUUUCAGGCCUUUAGGGGGGAGAUAUUGUCUCAAUGUGUUUAUAGAAUUUGAGACUGCGAAGGUUCUAGCUGAUUGACUAAGGAUGAGGCAGGAUGGAUGGAAGGUUUGCUUGGAGAUUCUACCUUUGUCAGCUCUUCUGGUUGACAUGUUGUUUAUUCUGCCUGAGGAACUACUUCUAGAUUUUUCCCUUUUCUAGCAGAACUAGUCUCUGGAAGUACUUGUGUGUCAUCCUUAUUCUUGAGGAAGACGCAGUAUUGCCUUUGAACUCUCCUCUUUUGCAUUCUGGUUAGCUUCAGAGUUGGUCUUCGGCUUUUUCCAAUAGAAUAUCAUCUACCUUCUAUGAUAGUUGCAAAGGGCUUGUCAUUUCCAGGCAUCUUAACUGGUAUUUCCUUCUUUGGCUGCUCUAUUAUUCUCUUGUUGCGUUGGGCAGGCCUUAAAUAGUCCUUCUGUCUGGCUCUAUCUCUAGGUGGAGCCGGAACUAGGCCUUGUUGGUAUGAUGUUCCAAUCCUGUCAAAAACACAAGGUGUGGGCUGACUUUGCCUAACCAGAGUUACCUCUAACUCACUUUCACAUUUGCACCUGUUGCACAAAACUACCCCAGCCGAAAUGGUUGCUUUUGGUCUUCAAUUAGCCUAUCUUUGGACUCUUCUGCCUAUGCUGGGGCUAACUUUUGCUGUUAGUUUGCCUUUCUUUUGUUUUGGCCAAUUUAAGUUGACCAUGUUGACUUGAGGUUGGGGAAAAGGGUCUGUUGUUAUCGAAUGAGGUUUCUCAGCCAGUUUUAGCCUCCAUGCUGUUAUUCCUUCCUGUAUGACGUCCCUGAAAACAACACAACUAUUGGUGGAAUGGUCCCAGGAGUUAUGCCAUCUGCAAUACUGUCUGCCCUUGAGUUCCUCUAGCUUGGGCAACUUGUAGGGUGUUUCUAUUGCCUUCUGUCGCAGCAUGUCAUCAAACAGGGCAUCAACCUUGGUUAAAUCGAGGGAAUAGACUUUGUUAUGAGCUGGUUUGUUUGGAACAAACCCUCUUGUGAAUGGUGGUGGCUUUUGGUCCUUUGGUGGCUUUGUUAAAGCCUUGCAACUGAUGAGAUGUUUUAAUUUCCCCAUUUCUGCCACUGCAACUUCUCUCUCCUCCGAGCUUUCUAUGCCUUCUUCUGAUUCUACCUCAACAAGAUUUACUGAAGAGGAUGGGGUUUUGUAAUAUGUGCCUUUGAAAGAGUUCCUCUUCUAUUGUUCUUCCCUGAGCAGCUCCUUGUAUUUAGAUGCUUUGUCUGCUAGUUCUGCCAGAUCUCCAAACAGCAUCCCAUCAAAUUUUUUUCUCAGAGAGAUUUUAAGGGAGAUUUGAGCCAUUUGGAUGAAGUGCCCUUCCUCCAUAGGGAUUCAAAAUUUCAUUUUGAGCUUUUUGAACCUGGUUAUGAAGUCUUGGGCAGGCUCAUCUUCCCUCUAUUUCCAGGUUUGAGGGCAGCAAGAUCACUGAUGGUGACUUCUGGCUGAAUCCUAAAAUAGUAGUCAUGGAAGACAUUUUCCAUCUAUUUCCAGGUUUGAACAGAAUUGGCUGGUAAGCUAGUAUAUUAGAUGAAGGCUUGUCCAGAGAGAGAAUUUCGAAAAAGCCUUAGUUUUAACAGAAGGUUAUUUUCUAUGGCUAUGCACUGGAAAGAGAAUCUGCCUAUAUGCUUAACUGAUGAAGCAUGGGUGUCUUCUCCGUUGAACAAGGUGAAGUGUGGUACCUUAAAGCCCAGGGAUAGAGGUAUUUGAUCGAUAUAAGCUGGAUAAGGCUUUCUGUAGGUGGGCCUUUCUCCUCUUCUGGCCUCAGGUUCCAUCAUCUCUCUGAUCAUUCUAUAAAGUGCCCCCAUGUCAUUCAAAGCAUUGACAUGAUGCGGGGUUCGCCCCUGUUCUGGCUAGUUGUGUUCAAUCCUUUGUUCUACUUUAUAUGGCCUGGGCAGAACUUCCUCCCUAUGCUCUUCCUCUUUUUCGAAAUCUGGAUGAUUCCUUUAGUUUGCCCCCGGUCUGUUUUUGUCAUUGUUGGCAAAGGGUUUAACUCCUACUCUACCUCUCAUGCCACUUGCUAGUGGAGGGAAUGGAUUGGGGUCCAUCCUUCUAGGUCUGUAGGGCAACACAACUGGUUGCUCAGGCAGAAGUGCCAAGGCCUGAUCACGUGGGGCCACUAGUUGUGGAAUAGGUGGAGGUUCUGGCUAGUUCUGAGGGGGUCUGAACUGGUGCAGAGCCUUCUGGAUGAACUGAAUCCUCAUGUUCUUGGAUGGGAAGGGCUCCUCCCCUCUGUCCAGCUUGGAUUUCUCCAUGUCCUGGUAUUCCAGCUAUCUGUGUGAUGAGAGGCUUCUCUUCAUAUGGCCAUGCCAGUCCUGGUAGAGGUCCAAAAGGGAGAUCUAGCUGCUGGACCACCAUGUCUAGGUUUGGAAUUUUGGCAAUAGUAGCCUCACGGUCCUUCCUGAACUGCCUGUUGACUUGCCAUUACAUCAUGGUUGUCAUGUUGUUUAGAGUAUCUUGGCUCAUUUGUGCUGUGGCUUCUUGCCGAAACACAGCCUCCUGUAUCUAGUUUAACCUUCUGGAACCAGACAUGGAACGUCUACUCGUGGUACUGCCAUGGGCUGAUUACCUAGCAUCACUUUCUUUUGACUCAAGUCCUUUUCGGAGAGCUGCUUGAUCUCUUUUCAUGGCAUAGCGUGGAUUCUGGCUAGAACUUCCAAUAUUCAUAUACUAGAGGAUUUUUCUAGAAAUAUAUGUAUUGAGAAGUCCCACUGGGCGUGCCAAAUUGUUCAUCCGUUUUAGAUUUGUUCCUGUGAUGGUAGGGUAAAGUUCCUCAUUGACUUGAAAACCAUUGGUGGUCAAUAAGUCAACUUUCUUUUGUGUACAAAUGUGCCACUGCUAGCAAUAAAAACCCUAGCAGACUUCUUAAAAAUAGAAAACUUGUGCCCAAGUUAUUAACUUCUAAAUAAGCGAUUGUGAAUUUGGGCGAGGAAUAUCUCCCAAGUAAGUUCUUUUCUUUGCCUCAGAUUGGUGAGGACUUCACAAUUUUUCACAGUACAAAACUGGUAGUUCUAGCUAGAAUAAAUGAUAAGAAAGUGAACUGUUUUCAGGCAGAACUACCUUUUACAAAGCUUAAAAAGGAAGACCAACUCUAAAAAGACAAAAAGAGCUUUUGGACUUCAAUUUCUGCUUGGAUAAAUGCUUCUGAUCCGGGCUGGACUGGGUAUGUUUGUGCUGGACUGGACUAUCAACACCUUCAACUGUCAAGUUUUAGCUGUCAAUGAAUACCAAUGUUCGAGUGUGGCAAAGCUUCAAUCUAUUUCAAGCCGUGCAAGGCUUUUUGAACGGACAGAAUUGGAACCUCUUCAGUCUGGAAGGGGUAGAAGUGGCUGAAUUUGGUGAUUACUGAGCUGGAACUGCACUGUAGUACCUGUUCUGCUUGAUCAGGGCUCUCCAUAAAUUUGUUGAGGUUUUAAUAUUGGUAAAACCCGAAGCUUAUGUUGAACCAACUUUGUAACGAGAGAAAUCUUGCUUUGAAUGACUAUUUCUCUGAAACUAAACAGAAGUUAGAGAUUCUGGAAUAUAGCUGACUUGUUUCUUAUGGCUCAAUGAGCUUUUGGUUGCUUCAGUGUUUUGAAGGCUUUUGAGAUCAAGUGAUCAUUUUGAGUUUUUAUUUUUGAUUGAUUUUUUGGCUGUCCUUUUAUCUGUUCACCUCAUCUCAUAUUUAUAGAAUAUACUGGAGUGUGAUUUCUAAUCUUUUAAUAAUGGGCGGCAAAUCUUUUAAAAGAUCUUUUUUUCUUUUUUCAAUGUCAUAAGAGAAGGAAGCUACUAUUCUGACAGAGAAAGGUUGUCAACAAUCAUCUUUCAAUUUUUCUAUGUUCACUUUUUGUUCUUUGUAAAGAGAAAGAACACAAUCUACCAUGAUGGUCAGUGUGCUUUUCCUGUUGAACAACUCCCUCGUUCUCUACUUAUCUCUUGAAAACGUAGUCUGCUUAUCUCUUGGAAAGACCACCUGAUUUGGUGCAGAGCUUCUCUAUAUAUAUAUAUAUAUAAAGGGAUUUUGAUCUUCUUCUUUUGGCUGAAAAAAUAGAGAAGUCUUUCUGUAAGACCUGCCUUCAUUAAUUUUCUAUCAACUUCUCUGUAAUAGUUGAAAAUUUUGACUUUUCAAAGCCAGGUAUUCACGUGGGGUUGUUUAGAAAAGAUCUGUUGAUUUUGUCAAUCUUUUAGGGUAGAGAUUAAAUAGCGUAAAAAGGCUGGGCUAGUCUCUUUUUCUUAGUAGAUAAAAAGCCCAAAUAUUUUGUCUCACUGCCCUUUUCUGGAAAAUAAAUGGGCUGGGUGUGUUGGAAAUUGGCCCAAUCUUAAGAAAGACUCUGGUGGCUGCCCAAAAUUGACAUAGGCUUUUCUUGAUUUUGGGCUGGGCAUGCCAAAUUAGGCCCAAACAAUGCCCCUUAAGUCUGAAUUGUUUUUGGAAUAGUUUCAGACUUAAUGAUUUGGCCAUUAAUUUGUGCGCGCCAUUUCCUUCUGUUAGCCCACAUCUGCCACGUCUGCCUAUUAUGAUCAAGACUUCGUGGGAAAGUGGGCAGUUACUAGCUAGUUAUUAUCAGGUGGCGUCUUGUCUUCUUCUUCCCACGAUUUCGAGUCUUUCUAAGAAAUUUAAAAAGACCUCAGCUCCUGUUUACUCAAAACCUAACUUCUUCAGACCUUGAUUUUCCUCAGUUUUCUCAGAAUUUUUACCCUUUUCUGCGAUCAAACCCUGCUUCCUUUCAGUUUGAUUCCCCUAUCCUAGCUCAAAACCCGAAAAUGUCUUCUCCAAAAAAUCGUGCCCAGACUUCUUCUUAUUCUGUUCCUCCUACCUACAUUACUGGGGCCGGUGUUGAUAAGCAUGUGAUUGAAGUCCGGAGCAAGCUUCAUCCUUUUGCCCAGAACGUUCUGGACAAGAACGUGUUACAUUUGUUCGAGAACACUCUUGUUUUGGAGCCUCAUCGGUUUGGUUCUGUCCCGACUGAAAUGGCAGAAUUGUUUAAAGAAUAUACUGAAGCUCCUCUAUGCUUUCAGAGCUCUUUCGUAGAUUUCAGUUUUAUAUAUAAACUAUCGUGUUUCUCCCUAUAACAUGUCGUUUUUAAGAAUUGUUGUCAAUGUUUUAUUUCCUGCUACUAUAAGACGGCGAUUAUUUAUACAUAUGAGACGUGUAAAUUAGAAUGAGACGUCAGUCUUUGGGAUUUAAAUUAAGUUUUUACGAUUUAAUGUCAUUUUAGUUCAUAUAAGGACAUAAAUGUCCUAACCAAAAAUAUAUUUAUGUACAUUGUCAAUAAAUUAAAAUAAACCUAAACAUUGUUAAAAUAAAUUAGAUCACUUAUUAUUCUGUAAUUACUUGUUAACGAAUUCAGCCCAUUCCAACCUGACUUCGUCAAUAUGUUCUUAUACAUACUGAACUGGUUCCUUUUUCUUAUCAAACUGCAAAUAAAUAACAAAAACCAACGUGUUAUAAAGAUUACAACGACUGCUUUUAAAGAAAAAGUUGUGGUACUAAAAUAAAGAAUUUAUAUCUUAAGUUUUGCCUUUUACCUUCUUCUCAAAUGCUAGGCCUGGAUCAUGAAUUAUAUCUCUCAUGAAAUGCAUCACGUAAUAGCCACACUCUACAUUUGUUGGUUGUCGAGGAGUGCCAUGUAGAUUUUUCCAUAUGACUGAUUUACAUGAUGAUUAAUUGCCUGUGUGAGAGUUAUACAUUUUGAUUGAACUGUUUCAAGAAAAUGAAAAGUGUUAAUGAUAAAAAUAAAAAUCUAAAGCAAAAAUAUUAAACGUCGUGGUAAAUAAGUGAAGACGAUGGUUUUGUUAAAAAAGUGAUGUUGUAUUUCAUUUCAAACGUUGGUAAAUAAAAACCGUCGUUGUGUAGAAUUCUAACGUCGGUGACGAUGAAAAAUGACGUAUAACCAAAAAUUGUUUGUAAAUGAAAGUUGAACAGAAAAAAAUAAAACUUCCUUAAAUGAAAAACACAAACGACGUGGUAUUUCAAUUAAAAUGACGGUUUACAGAAAAUACUGACGUUGUAAAUGAUUUCAAACAUCGGUUUGAAGUUACCAUCGUGUUUUCAUUGUAACGUCGGUAUUAGAAAAAGCCGUAUAUCAUUCAAAUGCAAAUAAAAAAAUGUUAGAUUUUCAUAGAUAAACUUACAUAUUCACUAUAUUUCUCAUGUCCUCGUCAACAACGCGGUUUGGCAAUGAAUCCAUGUAAUAGAUAGUCUCCUUCGCUGGUCUCACAAUUAUUAACACCCAAUGACCCCUACACAUAAUGAUCCAUAUAGGUUAAAUAUACUAGAAAGAAAAAUAGGCAUCAAGUAUAGUUAAGGGGACUAACCUUGGAUUACAAGGCACCAUGUAAAAUUGAUCCCCAUUUGCGUUUUUCAGGCGGUCUGAGAGAUGUUUCAAACGGUAAGAUAACGUUCCAGAUUGAGAGCUGACUUGUCCAAGGUCCACGAAGCCAAUAAGGUUUACCAUAUUUUCUAUUUUUAAAUAGUCAAAUAGGCACCUAAAUAUAUGAAAUUCAAUUAAAUGAGAUUUUAACUUUAAAGAAAGGAAAUGUAUAAUGCAAUCACUGUGGAUCCAAUCUCAACCAUGGAAGGAAAUUGUAAAAUAUCUUCACACAAGAGGAAGGUAUCAUGGUUAAUGCCAAAGGCUUCCUCUGGAAUGUGAAUUCUAAUGGUCUCGUUAAUGGGCUUCAACUUGGUCUCGACAAAUUGAAAUAAGGCUAACAGAGGAGGUGGCAUGUCUAGCUUUGAGAGAUCCUGUUACAACAAAUAAAUAAAGAAAUAUAAGUUAGUUUGUACACUAAGUAAAAUAAACGACUCUAACUAAACCAAUCAAACCGACGUGGUAUAUAAUAUAAUCGACAGUUUCUAGAACAUACUGAAGGAGUAAAGGUUAUAGACGACGGUAAAGACAUAACCAUCGUUAUGUAAAUGUUCUAACGUCGCUGCAUUAUGGAAAGGUCGUCUAAUUAAAAUGCAGUGAAGCCUUUAUUGAAAUACACGACAGUUUAUAAAAUAAACACCGACGUAGUAAAAUACUGAGACGACGGUUAUCAGCAACGUCUAUUUGAAAUUAUAAAUCAGAAAAAAUCAAAUAUCAAAGAUUUUACCGUUUCAUCUUGCCAUUGUUUAGCAACAUCAGCAUCAUUCGUGGGAUUUUCUUCCUCCAAAACAAGGGGUCUCACAUUAGAGCAGCUUGCUUUGUCAGACAUUAGAUUUUUUGGAGUAAUUGGAGUUUUAUUGAGCAAGUUGGGAUCACAGUUGGGAAUUAGUUGACUGAAUUGUUUCAAUAAAAUUUCCCUCUCUGCUCUGACUGCCUCCAAAACAGUUUCUUUUGCCUUAGCUUUAAUCUUUUUGGUUUCUUCUCUCACUGCCUCCAUAACACUUUCCUUCAAUUUGUUAGCAAAUUUUACUCUCUGCUGUCUCGACAAAUUGAAGAAUUGAGUUGGGGAAACCCCAGCUCCAACACCUCUAACUCUCCCACCAUGCUCAGGGGUUCCCAAAGCCAAGGUCAAAAUAUCGUUGCUCUCAGAGACAGCAGAGUGCCCUCGGAAACUUGUUUUUUCAAAUCAUCCUAAAAGUGAGAGAGAGAGAGAGAGAAUGUUAGUGAGUGAACAGAUAGUAAAACAGAUUAAAUAAACAACUAUACAAAAAUAUUAACCGACGUGGUAAAGACUUUAAAAAACUGAAAUCAAUCCCCAAUAGUAACAGGGACCAUGCAGCAACGAUUUGGUUGACAGUAGUAUAGGUUGGAGAUGCUGUUGAUCAUUAGAUACUAUUUUUUUAAAUAUCAAUUCUGUAACAUCCAGACCUAAAAAAUUAAUGAUUUUGAUUUAAAAUUAAAUUUAAAUAAGCAAUUACGAAUUUACCCUUGGGGAAGGGGUAUUUUGGUAUUUUUUUUUUAUUCAGAAAGAGUUUGGGGCAGUGACUAGUAUUUUUGGGUAGAUCGUACUGAGACGAAUCCGUAGACACGCGGUAGGCCUGAAUCGGAGUUGUAACGAAGAAACGGUGACCAAAAUUAGUCCAGUGGCAAACUUGUAAAUAUUUUGAACUUGGGUGUAGAAAAAUCUGAAACUGGCUUCCUCUCUCCUGCGUGCACACGUCCUUCUCUCUCUCUCCUCUCUCUCUCCUCGAUACCAUCACUCUCUGUCUCUCUCUUCGAUUCUCUCAAUUCUGGCCACGGCAAGGGCCGGGACUGGUUCCGAUCAACUCCUCACAAAGCCCCGAACCAGAACCACCACUUUUCUUGGCCGGAAAGCUCGAGUUUCGCGUGGUAAUCUCGACUGGUUUGAACCAGUUUUCCUCCGUCAUUGUGCCGCCGCCAUCGCAGCCCAAUCUCGGUUAAACAAGUGAGGUUUCUUACUCUUUUUCCGAGCUCUAGCUGCCUGUUGGGUAGGAUUGGAUUGAUUUUUUGUCUAGGAUCCCGAUUUUGAAACCUAAGUUUUGACGAAUUUCAAAGUGAAAUUCCGGCCGGUUGCCGUCCUAAUUAGACCUCCCCGUAGUUGAAUAAAGUGAUCCUCGCUUCGAGUAGUAGCUAAGGUAGGAAUGGUGAAUUGCGGUGUGGAGUUUUUCCAUCACUGAAAAUUACUCUACACAUCCACGCGUUGCCAGGGCAUGUGGAGGCGCAUGGGCAAUGUGGUGAGACCACAUUUUAUCCUGAUGUAGUCUCCUAGUCCUCACGUGCGCGUAAGUGUGCUCGAAUUUCAAUUCGAAUGUUGUUUGACUAUCGAACGGAUUUAUGCAUAUUGUUUCUUAUCCGGGUUCAAUAUGUUCGGACCAUUGGAUCGAGUCCAAAUUUACGUAUGUUAAUCUAGGCACCCCUAGGAUCAUGUGCGAAUUCGCGGAUCGUGAAUCGGAGCCCCGAAUGUUCCGAUUCAAUAAUUUGAAGUUUAUGGUUUGCGAUAACCGUCAAUUUCUGACCAAACCUACAGGACGUGUUUCCUAAACCCGUAGUCGGACCUUAGAAUACUCGUUAUGCGUGCACGCACCGGGAACUUGAGAAAAUUAGUAUUUAAUUUGUAAAUUCCGUUUUGAAGUGAUUUUUUAUUAAUUAAGGGUGCGUAUCUCGAAAUAGGUGCUCCAUCACUAGCACGCAGCAGGUAGGACCCUCUUGAGGUCAGGCAGUGUGGGACUACUUGUGAGUGGACAUUUAUUUUAUAUAUGCAUUAUUUUCAAUGAUUGAAAGAAUAUGCAUGAAAUAUAUAUAUUUUUUGGAAUAAAGAUUGAGAAAUUCAUAUGUUGUUAUAUCAGUAUUAUUUAAUUUAGAAUUUGGUUUGAUUUGAUGAUGAGUUAUAUAAAGGUCAAGUUAUUCGUGAUUAAGUCUUGGAUGAAUUUUGGGGGAAUCGGGAAUUGAAUAUUAUGGUUUAUGGUGGGAACUUAUAUGAUUACACUGUGUGGAGUACCAUCCCCUAGUUACUAGGCUUCCCACAUGUGGCGUUGGAAAUUUUCCAGCGUGUGAUGAUGUAGUCUGCACGCAUAGGACUUAGUAUUGGAGCUACACGUGGCGUUGGAAUUUCCGGCAUGUAAGCUAUGGAGUUUCGUCCCCCGGUUGGACCGCUCAUCCCUAGACGCAGGAUAGCAACUGAAAAUCUUGCGGGUUAGCCAAACAAUCCCCCGGUUGGAUUGUUUCCCCGGUACCUAAGUAGUGUGAUAAAUAUUAUGUAUAUUUAUAGAUAUAUAUAUUUCUAUGUGUGUGUGUGUGUGUGUGUGUGUGUGUGUGUGAGUAUAAAUCAGUUAAAGUAUAUGUAGUGGUUGGGUAAGAGCAGUAUAAAUUUUGGGGAUAAAGUUUAUGGAUAGAGUGAUUGAUCUCAAAGGGUUUCGGAGAAUGAUGUUUUUGAUCAUUAAAUAAAAGUUAUGAAUCUGCAUGUCUUGAGCAUUAUUUUUAGACGGUGGGGUUAUUAUGUUGUUUUGAAUGCAAAUUUUGUUUUUCCACUCACAUGUUUUCUGUUUUGCGCCCCCCAAACAGUAGUCGCUCAAGGGAGAGUUGCAAGCCAUGUUCGAGGCCCCGAACUGUGAACAUCAGUAGAUUAGGUUUCGAGUAAUUUCUUUCUACUCAACUGGAUGUUCUUGUAAACUAAAUUCGUUAGAUGCUCUAUUAUUGCCCCUGUUAGGUUUUACUUGUGAGGCCAGAGGCCAUUUAGUUUAUACUGUUGAAUAAUAAAUGCAUGCUGCUGGUUGGGAUUAUAUUGUGCUUAUGCAGGUUGAAAUUUUUGGGAUUGUUCAAUUUACAUGGGAGACUCUAGCAAAAUUUUAGUAGAGAGUCUCGGUUUUUAAUAAGUGGGCCAGGCAUCGGGGUAAUGUCGGAAAUAAGACUGGAUUCGUCCCGGUUUCCGAAGAAUUCGAGGCGGGUCCUGUCAAGUUCCUCCUAUUAACAAUAAUAAAUUAAAUAUUUAUAUAACUGAUAACAGUUCCUCAUAUUAACAAUAAUAAAUUAGUAUUUUGUAUAAUAAACAUGUUUAAUGAAAUUCAUCUUCUUCUAGCAUGUUUAUUUAAAUUCUAAGUUUUCUGAAGAAAAAAAAAAAAAAAAAGGAGAAGGAAAUGUCCUAAAUUAAAUCUUAAAAGUUCAUUUUUUUCUGUCCCUAUAUAUUUUUUACCCAAUUAUAAUUUGAGAAAAAAAGGUGAAUUAACUGUCAUUUCACCUUCAUCAUUUUCAUGAUUUAUAUAAGAUUCUUCAAAGAUCAUUUCCACAAAAAAUUACUUAAAUUCGAAUCCAUUUAACCGUCUAAUUAAAUCGUUAGGACCGUUGAAAUAAAAUUUAAAGUGAGUUUAAAGUGAGUCCUACUAUGUCUCCCUCAAAUAAGAUCAUUUACAGGAUCUGUCGAGUCAUAUGAGAAUGUUUAGCUUUUCGAUCCCAAGAGUUUGGUUCGAUUUUCAUAUAUAUAUAUAUAUAUAUAUAUAUAUAUACAAGUCAAUUUACUUUAAAAAGUUCACCAAAUUUUAUUUUUGGUCUCGGUAGUUUGCUUGAGGGCCUUUUUCUGUCAAUCUAUUUGUUGUGAUUGAAAGAUUUUAUAUAAAACAAAAGAUAUGUUUUUAUCUUAAAAAAUGCUUAUUUUCAGAUCUUUACAUAUAGACAUACAUAUGGCCUGAGAAUUCAAGCAAUAAAGACAUAAGCUGAUGAGCAUUCAUAAUCAUUAGAAUGAGUACUGAAUGGUCAACUCUUUCAAAAUACUUCGGAAAAAAACAAAGGACAAUACUUCCUUCCUUACUCAUAAGAAGGAACUCCUUCUCACCUUCUAUUGUCCCUCAACCACAAAGUAACAAGUGUUCUCUUUUUUUAAUUGUCAAUUUUUUUUUUUUCACUUUUACUGAACCCCUAGCUUUUUACCAAAGCAAAAAACACAAAACAAUAUUCCCAUUGUUUUUUUUUUUCAUUUUGAUUUUUUUCUCAACUUUUUGAAAAAUAACAUUUUUCCUUCUUCAGUAAAAAAUUGAAGUCUUUGUGGUUAAAAGCUAAGGUUUCAGUAAAGGUUUAAAAUAAAUAAAAAGUUUUGACAAUUCAAAAAACAGAACACAUAUCACUUUGUGGUUGAGCCGCAAUAGAAAGUAAGAAAGAAUUCCACCUUACCCAUAAGGAGGGAAGUAUUGUCAAAAAGAAAACAUCUUAAAAAACACACAGAAAACCCACCAUCACUACUUAAAAGAAGUAGAGAAGUCCAACAUUCUGAUUUUUAUACACCUACGUGACGUGAGCAUUCAAUAAUCAUCCUACACAUAUGUUGAUGUGAGCAUUCAAAAUCAUUAGAAUGAUUUAAUUGAAGACUCAACGUACGGACGUCUUUUUCACUUAGAUUCCCUUCCUGUACAAACUUGAAUCAGUUCCUCCACGACCCCAUCAAUCUCUUCAUCCUCUUUCUUGUUCACGUUGUCGCUUAUUUUCAAUGCCUUUUUUCUCACUCCCUCUCCAAAUUUCUCCACAACCACAUCUCUAAUCACCUUUGCGACCUCUUCUCUUUGCAAACUUCCUUCACCUGUUCUCUUAACCUCCACACCAACACCCACCUCCUCCACUAGUCUAGCGUUGAUCGGCUGGUCAAGAUGCAUAGGCAUGGCUAUAAUUGGAACACCAAACUUGAUGCUCUCCAACACUGAGUUCCAUCCGCAGUGACUCACAAACCCCCCAACACUAGAAUGCUGCAGUAUCUUUGCCUGUGGGGCCCAACCCUCCAUUAUCACUCCCUUCUCUCCCACCCUCUGUAAAAACCCUUCUGGUAACACCUCUUCAACCCUAGUACUUCUCUCCUCCUUAGAAAAUCUUAUAACCCAAAUGAAGCUCACUUUGCUAAGCUCUAAUCCGUGAGCUAUCUCUUCUAUUUGCUCCUUGGACAGAAAGUACUCACUGCCAAAGCAAACAUACACAACAGAAGACCUUUCCAUUUUGUUCAGCCAUUUCAUGAUCCAUGUUUCCUCAUCAACUUUUUGAUCCAUUGGCUCUUGAACAAGCGUGCCAACAGGCACGAUCUUCUUCCCCGUUAAAUCAGAGAGAUAAUCAAUAUAUUUUUCUUCAAUCUCGCUGGAUGUCUUGACCAAAAUGAUGUUACAAGAUCGAGCACUGCAUUGCUGAACACGGUCUCCGUCUUUGAUGCCAUUUGCUGAAGAUUCCAACAAAUUGUUGAACUUUUCAGCUUCGUAAUGUUGAAGAUAAAUCGAAGGAAAAGGAAACUUGACACUAGGGUUCUUGAGAUGUUGAAUACUAAAUGAAGUAAAGGCAGCACCCAUGGUGGUGAAUUCAAUGGAUGGAAAAUUUUGCAAUGAAGCUAGAGAGGGCGCCCAUGGUUGAAGAACAUCAUAUAUGAGCAAAUCUGGACUUAGGGUUUUGAGGAUGUUGGAGAAGUUGUUGCUGGACAUGCUGAAAGCCGUUUUGAGAGUGGACAUGAGAUGGGGAGGGAGGCCAUUGGUGGUGUGGUAGUGCGGUGGGAGUUCAGGCAAGUCAUCAUGUGGAAGAUGGAGUUCCACAAAUUCAAUGCAAUGAGAAUAUUUUUGGGAGAGUUUAGGCUUGAUGGAGCUGAGAUUUACAGGCGUGGAACAAAUAAAGAUGUGAAAAUUUCUCUUGGUGGUCAGCUUCUUGGCUAGCUCUAGGUAGGGAGAUAUAUGGCCGUGAGCUAGCCAUGGAAGCAAAAGAAUAGUAAGGCUUCUUUGGUCAGAGAAAACCAUAUUUUGUUUUCCUUUGACUUGUUUUCCUUUGACUCUUUUGCUUGAGGUUGCUCGAUUAUAGGCUUAUUGGUAGUUUGUUUGUGGCUAGCUCUAUGCAUAUAUAUAUAUAUAUAUAUAUAUAUAUAUAUAUAUAUAUACACACACAAAAACGCGUGAUGAUUGGAACAUGCACACGUAAGUUCCAGAGAGUGAUGAUUGGCCUAUGAUAAAGACUCGAAACAAGAAUAGUUUAAAUUUUCUUCUUUGUUUGGCUUGAUAUAAGACGAAUGCACCAAACAAACCGACUAAAUGCCGACACAAUAAUUAGGUACGUAAUAAUAUCAACUUUCAUUAUAUAGAUCUGAGAAACAAAAAGUUGAACUUUGAUGACAAGCGAUAUUAAGGAAGGGCACAAUCGAACUUAGGAUCUCGAAUGUUGAAGUACAUG
rnacentral:lncRNA from 1 species